rnacentral:rRNA from 1 species
AGAGUUUGAUCCUGGCUCAGGACGAACGCUGGCGGCGUGCUUAACACAUGCAAGUCGAACGGAAAGGCCCUUCGGGGUACUCGAGUGGCGAACGGGUGAGUAACACGUGGGUGAUCUGCCCUGCACUUUGGGAUAAGCCUGGGAAACUGGGUCUAAUACCGAAUAUGACCAUGCACUUCCUGGUGUGUGGUGGAAAGCUUUUGCGGUGUGGGAUGGGCCCGCGGCCUAUCAGCUUGUUGGUGGGGUAAUGGCCUACCAAGGCGACGACGGGUAGCCGGCCUGAGAGGGUGACCGGCCACACUGGGACUGAGAUACGGCCCAGACUCCUACGGGAGGCAGCAGUGGGGAAUAUUGCACAAUGGGCGCAAGCCUGAUGCAGCGACGCCGCGUGAGGGAUGACGGCCUUCGGGUUGUAAACCUCUUUCAACAGGGACGAAGCGCGAGUGACGGUACCUGUAGAAGAAGCACCGGCCAACUGCGUGCCAGCAGCCGCGGUAAUACGUAGGGUGCGAGCGUUGUCCGGAAUUACUGGGCGUAAAGAGCUCGUAGGUGGUUUGUCGCGUUGUUCGUGAAAACUCACAGCUUAACUGUGGGCGUGCGGGCGAUACGGGCAGACUGGAGUACUGCAGGGGAGACUGGAAUUCCUGGUGUAGCGGUGGAAUGCGCAGAUAUCAGGAGGAACACCGGUGGCGAAGGCGGGUCUCUGGGCAGUAACUGACGCUGAGGAGCGAAAGCGUGGGGAGCGAACAGGAUUAGAUACCCCGGUAGUCC